UACGAGUGGUGCUAGCGUUAUUCGGAUUUAUUGGGCGUAAAGGGUGUGUAGACGGUUUUUUAAGUCGCUUGUUUAAUCCUUCGGCCUAACCGAAGUACAGCGAGCGAAACUGAUUAACUUGAGGAUGGAAGAGAGAAGUGGAAUUCUCGGAGUAGCGGUAAAAUGCGUAGAUCUCGAGAGGAACACCAAUGGCGAAGGCAGCUUCUUGGUCCAUUUCCUGACGUUGAAACACGAAAGCGUGGGGAGCAAACAGG
rnacentral:rRNA from 1 species